rnacentral:rRNA from 1 species
CACGUAGGGGCCAAGCGUUGUCCGGAUUUAUUGGGCGUAAAGAGCUCGUAGGCGGCUCGGUAAGUCGGGUGUGAAACCUCCAGGCUCAACCUGGAGACGCCACCUGAUACUGCUGUGGCUAGAGUCCGGUAGGGGAGCGUGGAAUUCCUGGUGUAGCGGUGAAAUGCGCAGAUAUCAGGAAGAACACCCGUGGCGAAGGCGGCUCUCUGGGACGGUACUGACGCUGAGACGCGAAAGCGUGGGGAGCGAACAGG